AUUUAGUACAAUUGCACCAAAAGUUUGAAGGCUGAUAUAAUUGCACCAUCUCCAAUGCUUAAUUAAAAAAAUAAAAUGUCAACCAGCAGUGAUUUCCACUCGUUCUACAUGUGUACAACAUAAAUUUACAAUCGGAAAACUGCUAAAUUGGCAUUACAAAGCCGUUGCCGCUCUUUUACAAAGUUUAAAACCAGGGAUGCCAUGUUGGAUCCAUCAUGCGCAAGUUCCUUGGCGUCAAGGCAGCUUCAACUAGCUCAGUGACACCCCUCUGCACCGAUUGUUGAGGGUCAACCGUGGUUUCCUCUUGUAUGCAGGACAGAGUUUCAAAAAUCACAAGUUUAGAGGCGAGGAUAUUUGAAGUAGCAAUACAUUGAAUUGGCCACUAAUACCACUCAACCCAUAGAGUAAAAACAAAAACCAUAAAAUUACAGUUUGAAUAUCAGCAGCCAAUUGCUCCAUGACGGGGUUAUCGCUUGGUGCCUGGAUACCAAUACUACAGUGGGGCAGGCACAAAUAUUUCAUUGCAGAUUUUGGGCGACCACUUUUUAACAUUGGCAAUAUAUGUUUUAAAUAUUUGUAUUCUGUUGCUGAUGCUUAGGAAGAUGGAUAACUUUCACCUACACACAAGAAGCAACUGGACACCAAUGCAUCAUACAGUGAUAUAUGCACAUCAUUUUCAUCAGUGCGCAUGUGUUCACGAGUAAAUACACUUGAUCAGAGGUCAUUUGCCCGUGAACAUGGGACGCACAUUUGCACUCUUCGGAGAGAAACUGUGGAGCAAAUCACUGACCCGGUUGAUAACACGAUCAACAUUGGAAGUGACUUCAUUUUUGAAGUCAACAGGAUUCAUAUUACCCCCUCCAGCAGGCACCAAAGGCAUCCCAAGUGGUCUUCUCAAAGACCAAGACAGCAGUUCAUCACGGAAAAACAUUGCUAAUUGAUGCCACAAAUGUUGACUUUGUUUAGGUGAAACCACAGCCUGUGCUGCGGCACACAUUGUAGACACUAUAAACCCCUCAACUCCAAAAUGAGAGAAGAAUGCCUGCAUGUUCCUAGUUAGACAAAAUGGUACUGGUUCAUUAAACUCGAUUAUUCCAUUGGCAUCAUAUGCAGGGUGAAAAUCUGUUUGGCAAAUGGUAUCUUAUUUGGAGGCCUUCCUCCAAUUUGAAGCAUGAACGACAUGAAACUUGAAAGUGCCAACUGGAUGGCAUAUUUUUUUUAAAGCCCACAUAUGGUUGCCACUCAGCAGGGUCUUGUGCAAGUACUGAGAAAAGAUGCUGUCAGUCACAAGAGUUUUUGUUAUUUCAUUAUAAGCCUGGUGACGAAGAUCUACAACAGUCUCACGUGAUAUUGGCCCAGAUAUAGCUUGGUUUAAUUGUCCCUUGAAGUAGGUAAUUGGGAGAUCUGCCUCUCGGUCAUUCCUAGCACAAUGGUUCUCAUAGACCUCAAGGAAAGUGCUGUACAUUAAAUCAUCUUCAACCAUGCGAACCUGGGACCAAACAGGAAUGAUAAUUGGUGUGUGAAUGCAUAUGUGGCGACGUCUUGAUUCUUUGUGCUUGUCAAACAUCUGGUUCAUAACACGGAAAAGCUGCAAUAUGCGUUCAUCACUUCUGGCAUUAGGUGUCAAAGAUGUCUGAACAAUAAAAUGGCGUUGUGAGCCAUCAGAGCCAAUCAAAGUCAAGCGCCGGAAGCUGCUUCCAUGCCUUCUAACAAUAGGAAUAUCAGCUCCAACCCUAUCUAACUUAACAGUAUGGUCUGGUGCAAUUUCCUGAUCAAUAAAAUAUUGUCCAGGAACCUCUACAUCAACAACAUGGAAAUCACGUAACACCCUGCUUUCUUCUUCAAGCUUCAAGACGGCAGGAAACCUGUCCUCAACAUUGCUCUGAAGAACAUUUUUCCAAUGUUUCAAUCGCUCGGUAAGUUCAGAAAGGGUGGCAGGGAAGGUAACUGUACUUUCUGGAUCAAGAUCGCGCUCAAAAUCCAGCUUGUAUUCUCUCACAAAAUCAACAUGCUUGUUCACAGCAUCAGCAGAGAAGCAAGCCCUGCAAACUCCAGAAAGUUCCUUCUUGAGAGACUGAGGAACUUCUGCUGUAGUAGCAGUUGGAUACUUGUAACAACGGUGGAGCAGCGCAUUAACCACUGCAAGAAGUCUCUCCUCUGGCAAAGUAACAAAACGUGAACCAAUUUCUGUGAGUAGGACCUCAAGUUCACUAGCCAAAUUAGUGUGUUUGCUUCUAAGGGCCUCCAUUAUGUCCUUUGCAGCAUCAAAAGCACUGGCAGCAGAUGCAACAAAUCCCAGAGCACCACGCCUUAAUGCAUUCUGACCACUUUCAUUGAUAGUUGAAGAAUUUUGU
rnacentral:misc_RNA from 1 species